rnacentral:rRNA from 1 species
GAUGAACGCUGGCGGCGUGCCUAAUACAUGCAAGUCGAGCGAACAGACGAGGAUCUUGCUCCUCUGACGUUAGCGGCGGACGGGUGAGUAACACGUGGAUAACCUACCUAUAAGACUGGGAUAACUUCGAGAAACCGGAGCUAAUACCGGAUAAUAUAUUGAACCGCAUGGUUCAAUAGUGAAUGACGGUUUUGCUGUCACUGCUAGAUGGAUCCGCGCCGCAUUAGCUAGUUGGUAAGGUAACGGCUUACCAAGGCAACGAUGCGUAGCCGACCUGAGAGAGGGAUAGGCGACACUGGAACUGGGACACGGUCCAGACUCCUACGGGAGGCAGCAGUAGGGAAUCUUCCGCAGUGGGCGAGAGCAUGACGGAGCAACGCGGCGUGAGUGAUGAGGGUCUUCGGAUCGUAAAACUGUGUUAUUAGGGAAGAACAAAUGUGUAAGUAACUAUGCACGUAUUGACGGUACCUAGUCAGAAAGCAACGGCUAACUACGUG